CGAUUUAUGGUAAAUCAACUCAAAAGGUUUGAUUUUUUUUUUUAUGUGAAAAAGUUCCAUCUUUGAUAGGGUUCUUGUGGGUUUGUGUGUUGUAAUGGAUUUACCAUUUAUCUUUGUAAACAAAAAUAAAUUUUUAUUAACCCCAUUUUUUGAAUUUUUGCAUUUUUUAAAUUUCUGUUCAAGGGUUUCCUAAAAAUGACCUCAUUUUUGUAAUUCAUGUAUAACUAGUUUAUUAAUACUUCUAUUAAAAACCCUCAAAUUUGUAAUCUGGCUUCAAUUUAAAAAUUCAACUUUGUAAUCUAAUUUAAGUUUGUAAGUUACAGAUUGUAACCCUUUCUUCAUGCCAACAUUUAUGUACUUGCUAAACCAGUUUAUGUCAACAUUCAUUGCUAUUUUUUUAUGUUACAUCACUCUGUAUUAAUACUCUUAAUGCCAUGGUUUAAUUUGUACAUCACAUUAUUUUCUUAAUUUAUACAUAUUAACAUGUUUCUGUAUUUUUUCUUCAUGUCACUGUUUUCAUACUUUGUAGUCCAUAUUAAUUGUUUGACAUUGUUUGUACAUACUGAUUAGGUGAAAUGGAGUUAAGCAAAAAGGAUGUUGUGAUACACUAUGAGGGAAUGUGGGGUUUGAUUAAGCCAGGGCAUGUGAGACUAGGUCAUUACAAAGGUGGAAAAAAGGUGGUAUGGAACAUUGUUGGCGAUGUGCUGCAGUGGUGCUUCUUCCACCUCCAAUACAAAAAGCUCCAGGUAGACCCAAGAAAUUAAGAAUCAGAGGUGAUGAUGAACCAGUUCCAAAUAAGACAAACUUGCUAUGUAGCAAGUGCAAAAAGACAGGCCAUAAUAUCAGGACUUGUAAGCUAAGAGCAGAUACUACACAAGUUUACAAAAAAAAGU
rnacentral:lncRNA from 1 species